rnacentral:rRNA from 1 species
AAGACUAAGCCAUGCAUGUCUCCGAAUAGAAGAGCAAGUCUCUCUGAAUCUGCGAACGGCUCCGCAUACCAGUUGUAAACCAUAGCGAGCAAACCGUGACGGCGUCGCAAGGCAUCGUCGCGGUUAAUAAGGAUAACCCUGGUAAUUCUGAGGCUAAUACAAGAACGUACAACCCGCCCGACCCGCAAGGGAAGGGGGGGGAAUGUGUGACCAGGCACGCAAAUUCGAAACUGGGAGUGGCCACACGUUCAGACCGCCAUACCAAACAGUCGCUCGCUUCGAAAGUCCUCGUGACGAGUAGCGGUGGGUUUCUGGGCGGCUCUCGCUGUGUGCUUCUGACCUAUCAACUAGAUGGCAGCGUAACGGACAUGCUAUGGUGACAACGGGUACAGAGGAUAAGGGUUCGAUCCUGGAGAGUGGGCCUGAGAGAUUGCUCACACUUCUAAGGAAGGCAGCAGGCGCGCAACGUUCCCAUUGGGCAAAGCUCGAGGGCGUUAGGGGACAUAUGAAUGCCUGCCUUAUGGUGGGCAAUUCAAAUGGGGCUGUUUUAAAUAUCCUAUCGAGUAACAAUU